GAUGAACGCUGGCGGCGUGCCUAAUACAUGCAAGUCGAACGAAACUUCUUUAUCACCGAGUGCUUGCACUCACCGAUAAAGAGUUGAGUGGCGAACGGGUGAGUAACACGUUGGCAACCUGCCCAAAAGAGGGGGAUAACACUUGGAAACAGGUGCUAAUACCGCAUAACCAUAGUUACCGCAUGGUAACUAUGUAAAAGGUGGCUAUACUACCGCUUUUGGAUGGUCCCGCGGCGCAUUAGCUAGUUGGUAGGGUAAAGGCUUACCAAGGCAAUGAUGCGUAGCCGAAUUGAGAGGUUGAUCGGCCACAUUGGGACUGAGACACGGCCCAAACUCCUACGGGAGGCAGCAGUAGGGAAUCUUCCACAAUGGGCGAAAGCCUGAUGGAGCAACGCCGCGUGGGUGAAGAAGGUCUUCGGAUCGUAAAACCCUGUUGUUAGAGAAGAAAGUGCGUGAGAGUAACUGUUCACGUUUCGACGGUAUCUAACCAGAAAGCCACGGCUAACUACGUG
rnacentral:rRNA from 1 species